rnacentral:rRNA from 1 species
UACGUAGGGUGCAAGCGUUGUCCGGAAUUAUUGGGCGUAAAGAGCUCGUAGGCGGUUUGUCGCGUCGAAUGUGAAAACCCGAGGCUCAACCUCGGGCCUGCAGUGGGUACGGGCAGACUAGAGUGCGGUAGGGGAGACUGGAAUUCCUGGUGUAGCGGUGAAAUGCGCAGAUAUCAGGAGGAACACCGGUGGCGAAGGCGGGUCUCUGGGCCGUAACUGACGCUGAGGAGCGAAAGCAUGGGGAGCGAACAGG